rnacentral:rRNA from 1 species
GAUAACGGCGUCGAGCGGCGGACGGGUGAGUAAUGCCUAGGAAAUUGCCCUGAUGUGGGGGAUAACCAUUGGAAACGAUGGCUAAUACCGCAUGAUGCCUACGGGCCAAAGAGGGGGACCUUCGGGCCUCUCGCGUCAGGAUAUGCCUAGGUGGGAUUAGCUAGUUGGUGAGGUAAGGGCUCACCAAGGCGACGAUCCCUAGCUGGUCUGAGAGGAUGAUCAGCCACACUGGAACUGAGACACGGUCCAGACUCCUACGGGAGGCAGCAGUGGGGAAUAUUGCACAAUGGGCGCAAGCCUGAUGCAGCCAUGCCGCGUGUGUGAAGAAGGCCUUCGGGUUGUAAAGCACUUUCAGUCGUGAGGAAGGUGGUGUAGUUAAUAGCUGCAUUAUUUGACGUUAGCGACAGAAGAAGCACCGGCUAACUCCGUGCCAGCAGCCGCGGUAAUACGG